rnacentral:rRNA from 1 species
CGCGUAGGUGGUUUGUUAAGCGAGAUGUGAAAGCCCCGGGCUUAACCUGGGAACGGCAUUUCGAACUGGCAGGCUAGAGUGUGGUAGAGGGUAGUGGAAUUUCCUGUGUAGCGGUGAGAUGCGUAGAUAUAGGAAGGAACACCAGUGGCGAAGGCGGCUACCUGGACCAACACUGACACUGAGGUGCGAAAGCGUGGGGAGCAAACA